rnacentral:rRNA from 1 species
GACGAACGCUGGCGGCGUGCCUAAUACAUGCAAGUCGAGCGGACAGAUAAGGAGCUUGCUCCUUUGAAGUCAGCGGCGGACGGGUGAGUAACACGUGGGCAACCUGCCUAUAAGACUGGGAUAACUCCGGGAAACCGGGGCUAAUACCGGAUAGAUUCUUUCCUCUCAUGAGGAAAGAAGGAAAGACGGUUUCGGCUGUCACUUAUAGAUGGGCCCGCGGCGCAUUAGCUAGUUGGUAAGGUAACGGCUUACCAAGGCGACGAUGCGUAGCCGACCUGGGAGGGUGAUCGGCCACACUGGGACUGAGACACGGCCCAGACUCCUACGGGAGGCAGCAGUAGGGAAUCUUCCGCAAUGGACGAAAGUCUGACGGAGCAACGCCGCGUGAACGAAGAAGGCCUUCGGGUCGUAAAGUUCUGUUGUUAGGGAAGAACAAGUACGAUAGUAACUGAUCGUACCUUGACGGUACCUAGCCAGAAAGCCACGGCUAACUACGUGCCAGCAGCCGCCGUAACAC